rnacentral:lncRNA from 1 species
AAAGGGUGUUCAUCUGACCACCCUUUGUCUAAGGUGGCUCCGUUCAUGCCUCAACCUCUGACCUAUAAGAAAAAAUAAAUAACUGACCUCGUCUUUCUCCUGACUAGGUGCUUACUCGAACAAAUACCAUACCUACCAAAGGUUCUUCUUUGGAAACCUAGGGAACACCUUUAUGAACAUGUGCACCAUGAUCUUGAGAAUAUUUAUUAACCUAAAUAACAUAUUGUUUCCGUACUUUAGCUACUUUUUAAAAAUAAAUUAUCAUGUGUUAGAUGGUUUGUGCUAUGUUUGAUGUAAAUUUACAAUUAUACAUGAUGAGUAGUAUUUGAGAAAAUGAGAUAUAUAAGGAAAAAAAUGACAAAGGAUACACAAGACA